UGCCUCCACUCCGGGGGACACCAACUGCGGAGAAUGUCCGAGCUUUGGUGGUCUUGUGAGCUGUUGCCUUGGUUUCUCCCGCCUCUCUGUUUAUGUGCGAAAUAGGAUAAUCUACCCCUUCCGUAACUCUUUGUUCAUGUUGGAAGAAAACCUUCAUGGCAGAUGGUGUCUCCCUCCCCCAACUUCCACAUCUUGAGAGCUAUGCCGUAUCUCACUUCUAAGCCUAGACCUCAUCCGGCCCUGAUACACUUGCCUUUUCUUCCCCUGUGUGCCGGGGUGCGAGUACCCCCCCCCCACACUUCUAUCCCCUGGAGUGGAGGGCUUGAUCAAGGGCUUUCUCACCCUUGUUAUGUGUUAAGUUAAUGUUUGUUUUAUGUUUUAUGUUUGUUAUAAUAGAAAAAUGCUGGACUCUGUAGCAAUGUGGAACCAAUCUUGCUGUUAGCAGCAUUUGCUUCUCAAUUUGUGCUUAACUAAUAGUGACUCUGUAUAUACUGUUCUCAUGUUGUGGUGGAGCCAGUAACUAUAUAAAUAAAGUUAUUAAAAAAAAAAAAAAAAGCGGACACAAAGAUAAUUAAGCUAGUUCGUAUUAAAUUUAGUAAUGUACUGCACAUUUCACACGUUAUUCAUAUUUGUAUGAUAUGAUUUUUUUUUAGUGAACAUUUUUCUGCAGAUUAUUCUUAAAUAAAAUUCAAUUUUAAAUUAGGCAGUUACACUAAAGCACCAGUUCCGUUGCAAUGUGUUGAUUAACUGGAGAAUAAAGCAAUUUUUGAAAGUUUUAUAAUAUAUUGCUGCAGUUGAAAAUUGGAUUGCAAAUUAGCUGCUGAUAAAGAAAGAAAUUGUAAAA